CGGAUUGCAGGCUGCAACCCGCCUGCAUGAAGUUGGAAUCGCUAGUAAUCGCGGAUCAGAAUGCCGCGGUGAAUACGUUCCCGGGCCUUGUACACACCGCCCGUCACACCAUGAGAGUCGGGAACACCCGAAGUCCGUAGCCUAACAGCAAUGAGGGCGCGGCCGAAGGUGGGUUCGAUAAUUGGGGUGAAGUCGUAACAAGGUAAC
rnacentral:rRNA from 1 species